GAGUAGUACACACCAUGACAAGGGAUCCAAGGUUACACUCAUCAAUCUUCCAACUAUUACAAUUCCAGGUUAAUUACUAUUCAUCAGUUGUUAGAUGUAUAUAUGUAUUUUGUCAUCAUUUAAACUAGUUUUUAAGAUAGAUUCAAGUUCAUUUAACAUGGUAUCAAAGUCACAUUAAAUAUCACAAUAUGGAAAACUAAUACUAGGCGUAAGACUAGUGGUAUUGAAGUUGUAAAAUAUCACAUUUAUCAAGUUUCCGGACUUUUAGAUAUAUAAGUGUGUUUUCUAGGACACUCACAUACAUCAUUUGAGCUAGCUAAUUUCCAAACGAGAUUCAAGCUUAUCUAACAUCAACAAUAGUCAUACCAGAUACACGGUGCUUGGAUGCUACCACAUCAGGCUUAACUUUUGAAUUAAUUAUUAUCAUCAACAAAUCUAGACACACACUUUCCCUCCAUACAAAUCAGACUCUAUGCAUGUGUCCCGUAUAAUUAAUGGUAAUCAAACUGGGAAGAAAUCCAAUCCAUUAUUCUGAAGUAGGUGACAUUAUCCACAAGCUAUGGGGUGGAGUAGUGUCGGUGUGUGGUUCAGUAGCUAAGUUUUGAAGUAGGUGAUAAUAAUCAAUUAAUAAUACGAUAUGGAUGAUGUCUACACCAUAAGAAAAGUCAUUCGAUAUUAAAGUUGGUAGUUUAGAUCAAACGGAAUUAAUUGUAAAAGAUAACGACAUCACCUGGCGAGCACUGCAUGCAUGCCAGUAGGAUCAUGGCACAAGCAUUUUUCUUAAAAUUAAUGCCAUUUAACCUUUUUGAAGUAUAUGAAAAUAAGGUAUUGUUACAUUCAAAUUGGUAAGUUACAUUGAAAACAAUACAAAUUCUGUUUAGCUCUAAAAAAAAAAAUACAAAUUCUGUUUUAGUUAAAACUGAAAAGAAUGAAUCUAUGAAGUAUCCACCUUAAUAACAUAAAAUGACAUAAUAUUUAUGAAAGUGACAAAAUUAUAACAACCGAAAUACUCAUGUUUUCAUAUUUAUAUUUAUAGCUUUGAAUUUUUAAAAAAAUGUUUUUUUUUAAAAAAAAAAAUAUAUUUAAAUAUAUGUAUUUUCUCUCUAAAAAAUAUAUUUAUUGCAUUGAUGUCAAAGUCAUCAUUAGUUAAAUCUAUAAUAAGUUGAAAUGGUGGUUGCUUAAUUUUUAUUUUAUCUUUAAAUAAUUUUUCACAAGAGUCGGAUAGUUGAUUUCUGAAGCCUAGUCCUCAACCAAAAAUAAAUUCAAAGUCUAAAAUAUUAAGUAUGUAUUACAUGCUUAAAUAAAAUAGGAGUAAUAUAGACUCUUCAAUAAAAAUAAAAAAUCACUAAAAAGUUGUUAGAUAACAUAAAAUUUCAUUUCUUUAGUGGUUAAAGGAGCUAAUGUCACUUUUGUUUUUGGACAUCAACAAUGGAGGUCUUGUUGGCGUGUUUUUUUGGGCAUUGGUCGUUAGUCUUGCCUUUUGUUAACUUUUUGAGCAGGAUUUGAUUGUAAACUUUAAUUGUCUUCUUUGACACAUCUUGUGCUAUACUCCAUCCGUCCUAAAAUGUCUGCAACUAAACUCAUUUUUUUGUUCCAAAAUGUAAGCAAAAAAGACAAACGUUUAUCCUAUUUAAUCUUGUUUUUGUUUAUCUAAAAAAAGCAUCUUUUUCAAGAUUUUUUUUUUUGCUUAUUCUCAUGAAAACCAUAUUUUUCAAGAAAAACUUUUGCUUAUUCUCUACUUUUUAUAAUUUCCUUAGUUAGAUAGAAUAAAAAAAUCUUCAUUCUUAAACAUGGAUAUAUAUGCUAGUUAUUUUUAUAAAUUUUAAAAGUUUUGGAGUCUACAUAUAAUAAAUGAUAAUUUAAAAAGAUUUUGAUCAAAUUUGAAAUUUUAAAAGCUUGGGCAUCAAAUUUCAAAUUUUGAAAAUUUUAUGAACUAAUCUACAAAAAUUAUUUAUUUUCGUUUUGACUCGAGCACACUUCUAAUAGUAUAAUAGUGUAAAUAAAUAGUAAUGAGCCCUUCAUUUAGCUAUGAGCCCCAUCGUGUGUUUUUUAAGAAAAAAUAUGAACACUAGGCUUGAAAGUGUGUAUUGAAGUUAUAUUAAAAUUCCACAGCAUUGCUUAAGUUUAUGGCAUUCAGACAUAUAAAUGUUUUUUUUUUUUUUUUUUUUUUUUUUGCAGACUCUCAUCAUUUGAAACGAUGUUCAAUGCACUGAUACAAUUAACUUUGAGAAGAGUGAAAAUGCAUGCAUGCAAUCACAUCCAAAGAAACAUGGGACAUUCUUGAGAAAGUCAUGGUGGAGUUGUUGUUAC
rnacentral:lncRNA from 1 species